GAUGAAGAACGUAGCGAAAUGCGAUAAGUAAUGUGAAUUGCAGAAUUCAGUGAAUCAUCGAAUCUUUGAACGCACAUUGCGCCCGCCAGUAUUCUGGCGAGCAUGCCUGUUCGAGCGUCAUUUCAACCAUCAAGCCCCAGGCUUGUGUUGGAGCCCUGCGGCUGCCGCAGCCUCCCAAAACCAGUGGCGGGCUCGCUAUCACACCGAGUGCAGUAGUUUACUCUUCGCUCAGGGCGUGUGGCGGGUGCUAGCCGUGAAACCCCCAACUUCUCAAGGUUGACCUCGGAUCAGGUAGGAAUACCCGCUGAACUUAAGCAUAUCAAUAAGCAGAGGA
rnacentral:misc_RNA from 1 species